AAUAGAUACCCCGGUAGUCCACGCCGUAAACGAUGGAUACUAGCUGUUGAAGGUAUCGACCCCUUCAGUAGCGAAGCUAACGCGUUAAGUAUCCCGCCUGUGGAGUACGGUCGCAAGACUAAAACAUAAAGGAAUUGACGGGGACCCGCACAAGCGGUGGAUCGUGUUCUUUAAUUCGAUGAUAAACGAAGAACCUUACCAGGGUUUGACAUCCCAAGAAGGCUUCCGAAAGGAAACUGUGCCGUAAGGAACUUGGUGACAGAUGAUGCAUGGCCGUCGUCAGCUCGUGUCGUGAGAUGUUUGGUUAAGUCCAUCAACGAGCGCAACCCUUGUGAAUAGUUGUAUUUUUCUAUUCAGACUGCCCCGGCAACGGGGAGGAAGGAGGGGAUGAGGUCAGGUCUGUAUUUCUCUUACAUCCUGGGCUAGAAACACGAUACAAUGGCUAGUACAAUGCGCAGCGAAGCCGCGAGGUGGAGCAAAUCGCAUCAAAGCUAGUCCCAGUUCGGAUUGUAGGCUGAAACUCGCCUGCAUGAAGUCGGAA
rnacentral:rRNA from 1 species